UACGUAGGGCGCAAGCGUUAUCCGGAAUUAUUGGGCGUAAAGGAGCUCGUAGGCGGUUUGUCGCGUCUGCCGUGAAAGUCCGGGGCUCAACUCCGGUAUCUGCGGUGGGUACGGGCAGACUAGAGUGAUGUAGGGGAGACUGGAAGUUCCUGGUGUAGCGGUGAAAUGCGCAGAUAUCAGGAGGAACACCGGUGGCGAAGGCGGUUCUCUGGGCAUUGACCUGACGCUGGAGGAGCGAAAGUGUGGGGAGCGAACAGGA
rnacentral:rRNA from 1 species